AAAACAUAGCCUGCAGAAUAAAUUGUAGGUGUAUUCUGCCCUAUGUGUAUAUGCAUAAAUGGCCGCAGUACUUUGACUGUGCUAAGGUAGCAAAAUAAUUUGACUUUUAAUUGGAGCCCCGUAUGAAAGGAAUAAUGUUAGAGAGUUGUCUUUUUUAAAGACUAUAAAAUUUACUUAUUUGGUGAAAAUUCCAAAUAAAAAAUAUUAGACGAGAAGACCCUUAGAAUUUUAAGAAAAAUGUUUUAAUUUACCUUAUGCUUUUUGUUGGGGCGACAGAGUAUACAUAUUCCUUUAACUUACUUUUUCCUCUACAUACCUAUAACUUAAUUAAGAAUAUAAUUACCUAAGGGAUAACAGCAUUAUAAUUUUUUUGUUUGUGACCUCGAUGUUGGACUAGGGACUAUUGCGGUUAGAAAUUGCAAUAGAAGCUUCUGUUCGAAGUAAAAUACCUACGUGAUCU
rnacentral:rRNA from 1 species